rnacentral:rRNA from 1 species
AAUGAACGCUGGCGGCAGGCCUAAUACAUGCAAGUCGAGCGAGGGGAGGACGGGUGAGUAAGGUCUGGGAACCCGCCUGUUGGCGGCGGAUCACUACGGGAUACGGUAUCUAAUACCGCAUACAAUCCGCUGUGGCCAGAUGGGAUUGGCUAGUAGGUGGGGUAACGGCUCACCAAGGCGACGAUCCCUAGCCGGCCUGAGAGGAUGACAAGCCACACUGGAACUGAGACACGGUCCAGACUCCUACGGGAGGCAGCAGUGGGGAAUAUUGCACAAUGGGCGCAAGCCUGAUGCAGCCAUGCCGCGUGUGUGAAGAAGGCCUUCGGGUUGUAAAGCACUUUCAGCGGGGAGGCGUUACCCGCAGAAGAAGCACCGGCUAACUCCGUGCCAGCAGCCGCGGUAAUAC